rnacentral:misc_RNA from 1 species
ACCAUUUCACUGUGGGCCACAAGUACCAGAAACCUGUUUGAACACUUCUCCACAGUAUAAGUAUGGACAACAAAACAAAUGUUGCAUUCCGUUUGAGUAUCUUGUUGAUUAUGGUUGUUUUAGGUAAGGGUGAACAGUGACGAUUGUAGCAGUUAUUACGAUUCAAACGGUGAUUAUGUGUACAGCUUUUCAUGCCCACAAUCGAAUGAUGGAUAUUCAGAGAUCUAUUGCUGUGGAACAAGCUCUUAUAAAUAUUGUUGUGACUACUCUACAUGGCUUUCAUUUGACUAUGAAAGUGACUGGGCUGGUGAUUUUGAUGAUGCAGUUGGACUAGGGAUAAGUAUCAUACUUGGCAUAGUUUUUGGGAUAAUUGGACUCAUCGUUCUAAUUAUCCUUUGUAUAGUUGCUUGUGUUUGCUGUUGUGCCCAAGCUGGUCAAAGUUCAUCGAAAACAACCGUUGUUCAUGCACCAAACCAGGUGUCUCCUGCCUCUCCUGUCGUGGUUUCCCAAAGCUCUGCUCAAGCUCAACAGGCAGUGCCACAGGCGUACUCCAACCCACCUCCCAACUAUGCAGGACAAAUACCACCACCAGCUGUGUACUAGUCCUAAAUAUGACGAACCGCAUAAAUCGAUUUGUUGCCAUAGUAACUUAAUUUGACACUUUCCGACUUUCACAUUCAUGACAUUUCGUUUGUCAAUAAAAUACUAAAGAAAGCGUUCAUUCUUUACAAAAUAUAAAUGUCAUGUUAAUUAUUUACUAUUGAGAACACAAACCGAAUUCCUCAAAGUUUAUAAAUUCUAAUGACGUCUAAAUCUCACCAAUCUACGUGAUAAUAAAUAUACCGAGUACAUUUGUUAAAACUUAUAAACGUCUGAUGACGUCACAUAUUAGGUACUGUAUUAACAAUUUAAGGACACGUCUACAUCUACAUGAUUCUCUUGAACAAUGUGUAUUACUAGUGUGUCUUAUUACGUUUUCUGAUUGCGUUAUAUUUAAACUCGAAUUCCUUUUGAUCUUUUGAUCUGAUCAAUAAUACUCUCGCAGAUAACGUUAAUCACAAUUUAGAUCCACUUCUUCAUAGCUAUUUAACACGAUUUUCUACUAAAGAUAAUUUUUGUAUUCUUAAAUUAAGACUGUCACUGUCAAUAUUAAAAAUUCAGCCACGA